ACGGGAGGCAGCAGUGGGGAAUAUUGGACAAUGGGGGCAACCCUGAUCCAGCCAUGCCGCGUGAGUGAUGAAGGCCUUCGGGUUGUAAAGCUCUUUUGGCGGGGACGAUGAUGACGGUACCCGCAGAAUAAGCCCCGGCUAACUUCGUGCCAGCAGCCGCGGUAAGACGAAGGGGGCUAGCGUUGUUCGGAAUUACUGGGCGUAAAGCGAGUGUAGGCGGUUGCCCAAGUCAGGUGUGAAAGCCUUGAGCUCAACUCAAGAAAUGCACUUGGUACUGGGUGGCUAGAGGACCGGAGAGGAUAGUGGAAUUCCCAGUGUAGUGGUGAAAUACGUAGAGAUUGGGAAGAACACCAGUGGCGAAGGCGGCUAUCUGGACGGUUACUGACGCUAAGACUCGAAAGCGUGGGGAGCAAACAGGAUUAGAUACCCUGGUA
rnacentral:rRNA from 1 species